GGAAUAUUGGGCAAUGGACGAAAGUCUGACCCAGCGACGCCGCGUGAGGGAAGAAGGUCUUCGGAUUGUAAACCUUAGUCAACAGGGACGAAGCAAGUGACGGUACCUGUGGAGGAAGCCACGGCUAACUACGUGCCAGCAGCCGCGGUAAUACGUAGGUGGCGAGCGUUAUCCGGAAUUACUGGGUGUAAAGGGUGUGUAGGCGGGAAAGCAAGUCGGAUGUGAAAAUUAUGGGCUCAACCCAUAAAGUGCGACCGAAACUGUUUUUCUUGAGGAUCGGAGAGGUAAUGAGAAUUCCCGGUGUAGCGGUGAAAUGCGCAGAGAUCGGGAGGAAUACCGGUGGCGAAGGCGAAUUACUGGACGAUAACUGACGCUGAGACACGAAAGCGUGGGGAGCAAACA
rnacentral:rRNA from 1 species